rnacentral:tRNA from 1 species
UAGCCUAGUGGUUAAGGCUAUGGAUCGCCAAUCCGGAGACAGCGGGUUCGAAUCCCGU